GUGGAAAGUCCCACAAUCUUUUUCUUCUCUAUUUUCAGGUAGAUGCAUUUUAUUACUAUAUUCUAUCUGUUUAUUCUAUCUAUUCCAUUUAUCAUCUACCUACCUAUUAUUAUCUGUCAUCUGUAUUCCGUCUACCUAUCAUUGAUCUAUCUGUCAAUCUACAUUUUGUCUUGUAGAAAAACACCUCUUGGCGAGAAUGCAGAGAAGGGAACGCUUAUACACUGUUGGUGAACUAUCACCCCUACAAGUCAGCCUGCAACCAGCCCUGGCCACCACCAGUUUCCCCACACUGAGCUGAAUAUUGGACAUGCCCAUCUUAGACAUUCCAGCCCAUUUUGAAAUUCCACAUCGAUUCACCCGACAAAGUCUGAAAUUCCAGGGCAAUUUAUCUGGAAAAGCUCACCUGGAAUCACGUGUCGUUUCAACCAACAACUAUGGAAGAGGAUGUGGCAUCAAAACCAAGGGCAUCAAUUAUUUAUAA